GACAGAGGGUGCAAACGUUGUUCGGAAUUACUGGGCGUAAAGCGCACGUAGGCGGCUUUGUAAGUUAGAGGUGAAAGCCCAGGGCUCAACCCUGGAAUUGCCUUUAAGACUGCAUCGCUAGAAUUGUGGAGAGGUAAGUGGAAUUCCGAGUGUAGAGGUGAAAUUCGUAGAUAUUCGGAAGAACACCAGUGGCGAAGGCGACUUACUGGACACAUAUUGACGCUGAGGUGCGAAAGCGUGGGGAGCAAACAGG
rnacentral:rRNA from 1 species